ACCAUUGUGGUGUAGUGGUUCGAAGGCUGGACUAUGACUCUGGAGACUAGGGUUCAAUUCUCAGCUAUGCAA